rnacentral:lncRNA from 1 species
AUGUCUCCGUUGCAUCCAAGGCACUUGGAGAAGCUGCUGCAGCCACUGCAACAAAUGUCCGGGAUGCAGAUCGAGGUCACGAGGUGCCUGUGGUCCCGUGUGUCGCCGGCGAGGGGCCUCGGGCACUGUGGUGCGGCUCCUGCCGGGCUCAGCCUGUUGGUGGCCUUAGGGUGUGACGGGCCGGUGACGUGGGGACGCACGGCUGUGAAAGCCUGGUUUCCCCCAAGGCUGCGGUUAGGGUGGUGCCCGGCCCCAUGGAGCCUCCCCGAGUCUGCGCUUCGGUGCGAGGCCGCUCCAGGCGGUGACGUGCCUGCCUCAGCCCGGGGCCGGUGCCAGCGUCCUGGUGGCUGCCGCUCUUCCUGGUGUCCCGGGCUCUUCCUCCCCAUGCUCACUCCCUGUCUCUCUCUCUGUCUCUCCCUUUGUCUGUCUCUGUCUCUCCCUCUGUGUCUCUCUCCAUUUCUCUGUCUCUUCCUCUCUGUCUCUCCAUUUGUGUCUCUCCCUGUCUCUCUCCCUGGCUCUCCAUCUCUAUCUCUCUCUGUCUCUCUCCCUGUCUCUCCCUCUCUCUCCCUCUCUGUCUCUUCCUCUCCGUCUCUGUCUCUCUCCGUCUCUCAAAUGAAUAACCACCAAGCCCCCGGCGGUGGCCACCACGACCGGCCUCGGAGCAAUGCUUGCAGCACUGGGCCCUGGGCCUCGCUGCUGUGUGUCGCCCGCGGGCCGGCGCCUGGAAGCCUGCUGCGUCAGGUGCUGGUGCGGGUCCCAGAGGCGCGGGCCGCGGGCCGCCGUGGCUCUGGGAGGGCACCAAGGGGCAGGAGGGCAGGCGGCCUGCGGCGGGCAGCAGUGGGCCCAGGUCAGGUCGGGGGGGUGGGGGGGAUGGGCCCAGGUCAGGGCCUAGGUCAGGGCCCAGGCUCCCUGCCCCGGGUGAAGGCGGGUGUGGAGCGGCCUGCGGGCCUGUCCCGGGGACACGGCCGCAGAGCUGCGCAGGCAUCCAGGCCGGGUCAGCGACACAGGGCGUCAGGCUUCGCAGUGGGUGGGCCGCGCCCCCCGUUACCCGGUCACCCGCAUGUGUGA